AUUGAACGCUGGCGGAAUGCUUUACACAUGCAAGUCGAACGGCAGCACGGACUUCGGUCUGGUGGCGAGUGGCGAACGGGUGAGUAAUACAUCGGAACGUGCCCAGUCGUGGGGGAUAACGUAGCGAAAGCUACGCUAAUACCGCAUACGAUCUAAGGAUGAAAGCGGGGGAUCGCAAGACCUCGCGCGAUUGGAGCGGCCGAUGGCAGAUUAGGUAGUUGGUAGGGCAAAGGCCUACCAAGCCGACGAUCUGUAGCUGGUCUGAGAGGAUGAGCAGCCACACUGGGACUGAGACACGGCCCAGACUCCUACGGGAGGCAGCAGUGGGGAAUUUUGGACAAUGGGCGCAAGCCUGAUCCAGCCAUUCCGCGUGCAGGAUGAAGGCCUUCGGGUUGUAAACUGCUUUUGUACAGAACGAAAAGGCUCUGGUUAAUACCCGGGGCUCAUGACGGUACUGUAAGAAUAAGCACCGGCUAACUACGUGCCAGCCGCCGCAGUAAGAC
rnacentral:rRNA from 1 species